rnacentral:RNase_P_RNA from 1 species
AGGAGAUGGAGGGCGGCUGACGGUAGGACUUGAUCCGGCCGAGGAAGUUCCCUCCUCCAAGAGCAAGGUGGGUCGUGAAAUACGACCGGGCGAGAGCUCGGGCAAGGGCCCAGAAACGACACAGCUUCGGUAAACAGGAUGAUCUGUUCGGCAGUGACAUUCCCGAAGAUUUGGUGAAACGGCGACACCCCACCGGAGCAAGCCCAAACGGCCGGGAUGAUUUGCUCAGGACCGGCGGGUAGGGUGCGAUAGUUGAAUGCCGCUUAAAACAGAAGGGGGGCUACUCCCAUCACCU